rnacentral:rRNA from 1 species
AUACGUAGGUGGCGAGCGUUGUCCGGAAUGAUUGGGCGUAAAGGGCGCGUAGGCGGCCGCUUAAGUCUGGAGUGAAAGUCCUGUUUUCAAGAUGGGAAUUGCUUUGGAUACUGUCGGGCUUGAGUGCAGGAGAGGUAAGUGGAAUUCCCAGUGUAGCGGGGAAAUGCGUAGAGAUUGGGAGGAACAACAGUGGCGAAGGCGACUUACUGGACUGUAACUGACGCUGAGGCGCGAAAGUGUGGGGAGCAAACAGGAUUAGAUACCCUGGUAGUCCACACUGUAAACGAUGAAUGCUAGGUGUAGGGGGUAUCGACCCCUUCUGUGCCGCAGUCAACACAAUAAGCAUUCCGCCUGGGGAGUACGGCCGCAAGGUUGAAACUCAAAUGAAUUGGCGGGG